AUGGACAACCAUAGACUCUCCUGAUCUCAUCUAAACUCUAAAGCUAAGCAAGGUUUGGCUUGGUCAGUACUUGGAUAGGUGACCACCAGGGAAUGCAAUUUGCUCAUC
ensembl:rRNA 5S_rRNA 5S ribosomal RNA